GAUGAACGCUGGCGGCGUGCUUAACACAUGCAAGUCGAACGGAAAGGCUCCUGCUUGCAGGGGUACUCGAGUGGCGAACGGGUGAGUAACACGUGGGUGAUCUGCCCUGCACUUCGGGAUAAGCCUGGGAAACUGGGUCUAAUACCGGAUAGGACCACAUUUUGGAUGGUGUGGUGGAAAGUUUUUCGGUUUGGGAUGAGCUCGCGGCCUAUCAGCUUGUUGGUGGGGUAAUGGCCUACCAAGGCGUCGACGGGUAGCCGGCCUGAGAGGGUGUACGGCCACAUUGGGACUGAGAGACGGCCCAGACUCCUACGGGAGGCAGCAGUGGGGAAUAUUGCACAAUGGGCGCAAGCCUGAUGCAGCGACGCCGCGUGGGGGAUGACGGCCUUCGGGUUGUAAACUCCUUUCGCUAGGGACGAAGCGUUUUUGUGACGGUACCUGGAGAAGAAGCACCGGCUAACUACGUG
rnacentral:rRNA from 1 species